CCAUGUGGUGCAGGGGGAGAAGAUCACAGGGAGAAGAAGAGACAGAGGCUGGUGGGGGGGGGCAGGAGACAGCCCUGGGCUGGAGAACAAGGAGGAUCAGCAGACUUAGGGGACAAAGGGACAGGUGUGGGGCCUGGGACAAGAGGAACUGAGGCAGCGGUAGGACAUCUGUGUGGAGACACUGUGACUUAAGGGCUUGGGGUCAGGAGAGCUCCGGCAUGGAGACCAGGUCAGAGCUCGUUCUGUCCUCCUGCAUGUUAACUUGUCUCCAUGAAUCUAUGUUCACAGGGGCUGACAGGUGGUCCAACCUGGCCCCUGUCUUCCAAGGGUUGCAUUCUAGUGUGGAAGAGCCGAGUCCUUGGCUCAGAUCUGAGUGUGUAUGAAACAUGGUAGAGCCAGGGGUAGUGGUCCCUGCCUGUGAUUCUUGUACUGAGGCAGAAAGAUGGCAAGUUUGAGCCCGGCCUGGACAACGUAGGGAGAAUCUUUCUCAAAAUUUAAAAAUCAAAUAUAAAGGCUGCAGAUGUAUGUACCUCAGUGGGAAGGCCUAGGGUUCAGUCCCCAGGGUCACAAAAGAUGAAAGAGUAAAGAUAGGAUGGAGCGAAGGCAGGAAUGGAUGAUGAACUCCCGAGGCAGGCAGAGAAGGCUUCCUGGAGGAGGCGGCUCCAGCUGGUUUGGUGGAGAAGGAGGGAUGAGCAGAGCCCUGGGGUUUAUCUGUGGGUCUCUCCCUCCCCUGCUGCGUCCACAUGUACACCCUCUCUUUCUCUUCCAGGCUCCUGUGAGCUCCGCCUGCCUUUCCUCCCACGGGAGGACUCAGUCCCAGGCACACACCCCAGUCCAGGCUGCUGUGCCAGGUGUGCUGGUGCUGUGGGCUCUGCGGCAGCAACAGGGCGGCCAGACAGGCACAGAAGGCCUCAUGUCCAGGAACACUCCUGCCCUCAAGAGAACCAGUGCUGGGCCUGAAGGAGGAGGCCCCCAGGUCCCCUCUAAGGGUCCCUACCUCCUCAGAAAGCCCCAGCCUCUGCUUAGCAAGACUCUCCAGCCUCCUGAUACCAACUCACACCAGGCCCCAAGCCAUCGACUGCAUCCUUCGGAUCUCCAGGGCACAGACUGA
rnacentral:lncRNA from 1 species